rnacentral:rRNA from 1 species
GUGCCAGCAGCCGCGGUAAUACGUAGGUUGCGAGCGUUGUCCGGAUUUACUGGGCGUAAAGCGCACGCAGGCGGUCUUGAAAGUCGAAUGUGAAAGCUCCCGGCCCAACUGGGAGAGGCCGUUCGAAACUUCGAGACUUGAAGGCGGGAGAGGCAGAUGGAAUUUCCGGUGUAGCGGUAAAAUGCGUAGAUACCGGAAGGAACACCAGUGGCGAAAGCGAUCUGCUGGCCCGCCCUUGACGCUCAGGUGCGAAAGCUAGGGGAGCGACCGGGAUUAGAAACCCUGGUAGUCC